UACGAAGGGGGCUAGCGUUUGUUCGGAAUUACUGGGCGUAAAGCGCGCGCAGGCGGCUAUCCAAGUCAGUGGUGAAAGCCCGGAGCUCAACUCCGGAACUGCCAUUGAAACUGUUUAGCUUGAGGACGAGAGAGGUGAGUGGAAUUCCCAGUGUAGAGGUGAAAUUCGUAGAUAUUGGGAAGAACACCGGUGGCGAAGGCGGCGCUCUGGACCGAGACGUGACGCU
rnacentral:rRNA from 1 species